GGACCCGUAGUUUAGCCUGGAAUUACAUGGGUAAAUAGAACGACAGCCUCCUAAGCUGUAGGUCGGGAGUUCAAAUCUUCCCGGGUCCG
rnacentral:tRNA from 1 species